rnacentral:rRNA from 1 species
UACGGGGGGGGCAAGCGUUGUUCGGAAUUACUGGGCGUAAAGGGUUCGUAGGUGGCCGGCUAAGUCAGACGUGAAAUCCCUCAGCUUAACUGGGGAACUGCGUCUGAUACUGGUUGGCUUGAGUGCAGGAGAGGAACGCGGAAUUCCAGGUGUAGCGGUGAAAUGCGUAGAUAUCUGGAGGAACACCGGUGGCGAAGGCGGCGUUCUGGACUGCAACUGACACUGAGAAACGAAAGCCAGGGUAGCAAACGGG